GAUUUACAGAUUCCGCAAAGUUUUUGUACAAGUACAUUUCAAGAAUACAUUCGCUCUGACAAGAUGAAAAUGAUUACAUUUUACAUUUGCGCUUUUGGUCUUCUUUUUUCUGUCACAAUUGUUAUGACAUCUUCAAAUAAGUUGGGAAAUAAGAAUACCAAUUACACCAUUUGUUUAGCUGAAAAUAAUGUUUCAGAUGGUAAGUAACUAAAAUAAGAGAUUUUCAUAUAAAGUACAACAAAAAAA